UUUAAUACAGCUAAGGAAUGGAUCAAGGUCUGCAAGCAUCUGUGCAAGCAUAGGUACUGUUUCUAGCUGUACUGAAUGCAAGAUGUAUUUUGAUUCCAAAAAUGAAACCUAAAACUUGUUGAGUGUUGAAAAGAAAACAAAAUCACAAGAAAAGAAGAAAUUAAGAGAGCUCUCAAUACAGACCCUUCCAAGUUACUGGCUUCAGCUCCAUCACAACAUCCUUACAUGUGUUGGUGGUAUCUUGACUAAACCAUGCUGGUGCACACUGAAUUGGAGAGUCAGGUUAAAAAACACCCAAACAGCACAACAAUGAACAAACAAAACCAAGUCAAACAAAUUACUUUUCUCGAGAAGCUGUAUUUUAUGUGUGUGUCACAAACAUAGCACAGAAUGAGGAGCAAGGUUUAUAUUCUCUACAGCUUUGUCUUUCAUCACCUGACAUUUUCAUAUCUCAUUUUUAAGUCUUUCCAUGACUGAUGGUAUUAUAAAAUAUUGGUAUCAUGUAUUUUGGAUUUCUUUUUCAAUUAGUUUACUUAGCUUAUUUCUUAAAUGGCAAUCCAGAGAACAGUUGAAGGAGCAAAUGGAAAAUUUCAGAGCUGCUACCACUCUUUUGUCUUCAUUUUGGGAUCAAGUAUUCAAAACCAGACAUCAACUGAGAGGACAUCACAAACAAAUCUAUUGUGAAGAAACAACAAACCCACAAAUGAAAGAGAAUAAAAAAGCCUGAAGAUAAUCCUGUGUGUUUCAACAAAAAAGCAACUUGAAAGAAGGAUUCAGGCUAAUUUAAGUGUAGCAUGUACAGUAGGUAUGAUCGGUAUUAUAGCAAAACUUGCUAUUUUGUUUCUUAAUUGCAGAAUAUUUGGCACAUAUAUUUAUUUGCUGAUUUACUUACAUAUUUUUGUAAGAAAGUUGCUCUUUGAUAGCCUAAAUAAAAAUAGCUGCCUCCUA